rnacentral:rRNA from 1 species
GACGAACGCUGGCGGCGUGCCUAAUACAUGCAAGUUGAGCGCUGAAGGUUGGUACUUGUACCGACUGGAUGAGCAGCGAACGGGUGAGUAACGCGUGGGGAAUCUGCCUUUGAGCGGGGGACAACAUUUGGAAACGAAUGCUAAUACCGCAUAAAAACUUUAAACACAAGUUUUAAGUUUGAAAGAUGCAAUUGCAUCACUCAAAGAUGAUUCCGCGUUGUAUUAGCUAGUUGGGGAGGUAAAGGCUCACCAAGGCGAUGAUACAUAGCCUACCUGAGAGGGUGAUCGGCCACAUUGGGACUGAGACACGGCCCAAACUCCUUCGGGAAGCAGCAGUAGGGAAUCUUCGGCAAUGGACGGAAGUCUGACCGAACAACGCCGCGGGAGUGAAGGAGGGUCUCGGAUCGUAAAACUCUGUUGGUAGGGAAGAACGUUGGUGAGAGUGGAAAGCUCAUCAAGUGACGGUAACUACCCAGAAAGGGACGGCUAACUACGUG